GACGAACGCUGGCGGCGUGCUUAACACAUGCAAGUCGAACGGAAAGGCCCUGCUUUUGUGGGGUGCUCGUGUGGCGAACGGGUGAGUAACACGUGAGUAACCUGCCCUUGACUUUGGGAUAUCUUCAGGAAACUGGGGCUAAUACCGGAUAGGAUCUCCUGCUGCUUGGUGGGGGUUGGAAAGUUUCGGCGGUUGGGGAUGUACUCGCGGCUUAUCAGCUUGUUGGUGGGGUAGUGGCUUACCAAGGCUUUGACGGGUAGCCGGCCUGAGAGGGUGACCGGCAACAUGGGGACUGAGAUACGGCCCAGACUCGUACGGGAGGCAGCAGGGGGGAAUAUGGCACAAUGGGCGGAAGCCUGAUGCGGCAACGCCGCGUGCGGGAUGAGGGCCUGCGGGUGGUAAACCGCUUUGGCCUGUGACGAGGAGUGAGUGACGGUAAUGGGUAAAGAAGCACCGGCUAACUACGUG
rnacentral:rRNA from 1 species